rnacentral:rRNA from 1 species
UACGUAGGGUCCGAGCGUUGUCCGGAAUUAUUGGGCGUAAAGGGCUCGUAGGCGGUUCGUCACGUCGGGAGUGAAAACUCGGAGCUUAACUCCGAGCCUGCUUCCGAUACGGGCAGACUAGAGGUAGGCAGGGGAGAGCGGAACUCCUGGUGUAGCGGUGGAAUGCGCAGAUAUCAGGAAGAACACCGGUGGCGAAGGCGGCUCUCUGGGCCUUACCUGACGCUGAGGAGCGAAAGUGUGGGGAGCGAACAGG